GACAGAGGGUGCAAACGUUGUCCGGAAUCAUUGGGCGUAAAGCGCGUGUAGGCGGUUCGGUAAGUCUGCUGUGAAAGUCCAGGGCUCAACCCUGGGAUGCCGGUGGAUACUGUCGGACUAGAGUACGGAAGAGGCGAGUGGAAUUCCCGGUGUAGCGGUGAAAUGCGCAGAUAUCGGGAGGAACACCAAUUGCGAAGGCAGCUCGCUGGGACGUUACUGACGCUGAGACGCGAAAGCGUGGGGAGCAAACAGG
rnacentral:rRNA from 1 species